UACGAAGGGGGCUAGCGUUGUUCGUAAUUACUGGGCGUAAAGCGCACGUAGGCGGGUCGUUAAGUCAGGGGUGAAAUCCCGGAGCUCAACUCCGGAACUGCCUUUGAUACUGGCGAUCUAGAGAUCGAGAGAGGUGAGUGGAAUUCCGAGUGUAGAGGUGAAAUUCGUAGAUAUUCGGAAGAACACCAGUGGCGAAGGCGGCUCACUGGCUCGAUACUGACGCUGAGGUGCGAAAGCGUGGGGAGCAAACAGG
rnacentral:rRNA from 1 species